rnacentral:lncRNA from 1 species
ACAAAUAUUUGGGGUUUUCGGGCUUCCUGAAGGUAAUACCCGGGUAUAAGGUUAUGGGGCUAGGGUAAGGUUUAAGGUUUUUGGCGUUAGGGUUAAAAUCACUGUCCAAAACCUUUGUAGGAACUCUUUUCCAACCUUUUGGAGUUAGUUAGACCAAAAAAAAAAGAAAAAAGAAAAAAAAAAUUGGGGGGUUUUCGGGCUUCCAGAAGGUAAUACCCGGGUAUUAGGUUACUGGGCUAGCUUUGUAGGAACUCUUUUCCAACCUUUUGGAGUUAGUUAGACCAAAAAAAAAUGUGAUUUUAACCCUCACGCCAAAACCCUUAAACCUUACCCUAGCCCCAAAACCUAAUACCCAGGUAUUACCUUCAGGAGCCCGACAACCCCCAAUAUUUUUUUUUUCAUUUUUCAUUUUUUUUUGGUCUAACAAACUCCAAAAGGUUGGAAAAAAGUUCCUACAAAGGUUUUGGACAGAGAUUUUAACCGUAUCUUCAAAAACCUUAAACCUUACCAUAGCCACACAACCUAAUACCCGAGAAUUACCUUCAGGAAGCCCAAAAACCCCAAAUAUUUUUUUUUCAAUUUUUGUUAUUUUUUGGUCAAACUAACUCCAAAAGCUUGGAAAAGAGUUCCUACAAAGGUUUUGGAAAGUGAUUUUAACACUAACAUCAAAACCUUAAACCUUACCAUAGCCCCAUAACCUUAUAAUAGUAUUACCUUCAGGAAGCCCGAAAACCCCAAAUAUAUAUAUAUUUUUUUUCUUUUUUUUUUGUUUAACUAACUCCAAAAGGUCUGAAACAUGUUUCCACAAAGGUUUUGGACAGUGAUUUUAACCCUAACGCUAAAAAGCUUAAAGGGGACCUGCCAUAAAAAUGUAAUUUUGGGGGUUUUUUGUGUCAUAUAAGGUCCAUAUUAUGUUCGUCUUAUGUUGUACAUGUGAAAACAAACCGUUACGUCGUUUGCAUUCUGUAAAGGUUUAAAAUCAAGGAACGAGUAAACCAGGCCAAUUGAAAAAGCCCGUCGGUGUUACGUUGCGCCGACCUUGCUCAUUAUUAUUCACGAGCGCGUCCUCGGUGAGCCGCGCCCACUCUCUCGUUCUCGUACUCAGUCACAGCCAGAGCGAGACCCAGCUACCGCUGUAUCCGCUAUGGGUCUCUUCCAAACGAUCGGUGUUUCCUUCGGUUCACUACCGGGAAAAUGAACUUAAAGCCGGGCAGAAUGAAUGAGAAAACACCGCUGGAGAUCUCCGGCUUCUUCCUCAACUUCCACCUCCUCUUCGGACUCGGGGUCUAAAAUAUAUGGUUUAAUACCUGCCGUUUUUAGCCUUUAGCAUAAGGUGACCAGACGUCCCCGAUUUCCGGGGACAGUCCCCGUAUUGGAUGAUCUGUCCCCGGCAAAAGCUGUCCCCGAAAAUGUCCCCGAUUUAAGCAUUUCAUUAAUGAGAGCAAAAAUGUUGUGUGUGGGCUCGAACAACGGUUAUUACAGUAGCCGAAUUUAGUUAGCAGUCCUGAACAACAGUUCUUACGGGGGUUAUUACAAGGGGCAUGCGCUGCUACUAAAUAGUACCGAGACUUUGUCUGUGAUCACACAGCCCCUGCAGCCCCUGCACCACCGCCGCCGCACCGAAUAUCCCCGGAUAUCAUUACAGACAUCUGGGCACCUUACUUUAGCACACAUUAGCAUAUGCUAUUAGCAUUAGCAUAAUAACAGUGGAUAAACCGAAAUACGAACCUCCACUGCUGAGCCAAUCAGAGCACAGCAGGCUUCACAGCAGCGAUCCAAUCAGAGCAAAGCUCAUUACCAUAAAUGUUAAUGAGCCAAAACCAGUUGGUUUUCCUGUAAGGUUUUUUAGGCAUACUAAAACAAACCAUCAAAUAACUUUUCAGCUAAAAUUAUGUUGCAAACAUGAUCAGAGGACAUCAAGGAUUAUGAAAAAUUGAUAAAAAUGGGUAUGAAAUUUUGGUGGCAGGUCCCCUUUAAACCUUACCCUAUCCCCGAACCUAAUACCCGGGUAUUACCUUAAGGAGGCCUUCACACCCCAAACAAAUUUUUUUUCAUUUUUCAUUUUUUUUUUUUUGGUCUAGCUAACUUCAAAAGGUUGGAAUAGAGUUCCUACAAAGGUUUUGGACAGUGAUUUUAACCCUAAUGCCAAAAACCUUUAACCUUACCCUAGCCCUGUAAUAUAAUAUAUACAUAAUUUUGCUCUACAAACACAUAGUCUAAAAGAUAGACAGCAUAGCAUACCAAUUGAGCUGAGUCAUUAAACUUCCUACCAACACAUAAUUUUUACACACAGAUUGAGCUUGGAGACUUGACUGGGAACAUGUGAUAUGUCGACAUGCGCCAGCCAGUGCAAGCCCUUGAUCAGCCUACCCCAAACCGCCAAGUCAACUGACGAAAGCAGGGGCUAUCACUGUAUCUCUUUCCCACACCUAACCAGCCAGUUGCCUUCGGACAGACUUGUCACAAUAUCAUUCCGAGAAUAGUCUGAGCCCAUGCUCCUUCUGUGCACACAACCUCUCACCCCCGCCCCCCCCUCCCCCCCCUUUAUAGAAUCUAAGAUCUUCCAGGUUCAAGGGUGAGAGUGAAUUCCAAAGAAUCCUCCACUUUGGAACCUAUACUAACACUACAUUCCACAGAUAACUAAACAAAAAACAUCUAAACCCUAACAGCAAUGACGAAAAGAUAAAUACUUUUCAAGACAAAUUAACUCCUGACCCCACCCUGCCCCCCUCCUUUUCUCCCUCUCUCCUGAUCUGUACCUCUCUCUCCUAUCAGAGGAUGCGAACCAGCAGGUGAGGAGAGUCUCAAUGGCGAGUCACGGUGGCAAGAUCUAUUCUCUUUCCAUCACUCGAAUCCCUUCAUGAGCAGAAUGGUGCCAGACGGACCACCUGCUCCCACCACAAUCCUCUGUGACUUUUUGACUCUGUCCACUUUUAGAACUUAAAAUAGUAAUCAAUAAUCAACUGACCAACUCAGCUCAAACCAAACCCAAAACUCUGCCUAGAGAACUCUCACUUCCACGUUUACAUACCUCUUUGUAUCUUGUGAGGACCGUGAGGAGAGCAGAGCCUAGACCUAGUCGGGUCGGGGGACUAUGUCCCUUGCUCACUCUCCUCACAUGGAUGGUGAGAGCUGGGGAGCUAUGGGAUGUUUCAUCCACCACCAAAUCCCCCUCACCAAUCUUUAUUUUCCACCAUCUCCACCUCUCCCUUAAACCCCCUCUCCCUUUUCCCUUCUCUCUCUCUCUCUCUCUAACACACACACACACACACACACACACACACACCCCUCUCUCUCUCUCUCUCUCUCUCUCUCUCUCUCUCCCUCAUCUCUCUCCCUCAUCUCUCCCCCUCUCUCUAACACCCCCCCUUUCUUAUUCCCUCCCCUGCCCCUUUAUUUUCACCUUCACAGAGGACAAAUAGGUGAUCUUCAGCCUAGGCCGGGGGGUAACCCCUGUUGGGUCACCUAUAUGGAGGAUUAAGAGAGACCUGAAGGGGAACCGCCGUGCCGCCUAAAUCCUCCCCCUCUAACAUCUUUUUUAACACUCUAAAAUUAGCCAGCUAACCCCACUACAAACAACUUCAUCAAAAAUUUAAAUAAUAAAUACUUAUCAAUAACUGACCAUCAGUGACACCAGACUAAGUUAGCAAAAAAGAACACACACACACACGUACAGAUUUUCCCUUAGGACAAUGAUCAGAUUUACAUUUCUGUCUUUCUUUUAGGGAACUGUUCUCUGUUUUUAAGCUCACUUCUGAUUUUUGCUAUUUGCUCUUGACACUUCUUUUUUUUCUUUUUUCUUCCCCUUUCCCUUUUGCAAUCCACUUUUGUUCUUCUUUUAUUUUUUUAUUUUUUCAUUGUUUUAUAUUAUUUUAUUUUAUUUUAUUUUAUUUUAGGGUUCCUGUGCUUUUGUUUUUCUUCCCCCCUCCCCUCUUUUUUCUUAGGAAGGACUGACUCCUGAGGUUCUCAUGCCAGGAAAAAUGUACCUCCCUCACUCACAGUUUUACCUACAAUCCUUUGCUGCAACAGGGAGAUUGAUUCCCAAGGCUCUCAUGCCAGAAAGGAAGUACCUCACUCACUCACGGUUUUACCCGCAAUCCUUUGCUGUAACAGGAAGAUUGAUUCCUUAGGCUCUCAUCCCUCAGAACUAAAAUACCCACAAUCCCUUGCGAUUGCAUACAAAUUUAAUGUAGCAAAACUCAAUUUAAAACAAUAAACUACAUUAAAAUUAACUUAAAACAACUUGAAAGUUUAAAAUACAACCAAGAGACAUCCAUUCUGGAAUACAAACAUCGAGAAGAGAACACAACCAUGUCUGAGAGGAACAGCACAAACCAUGACUCGAGCCCAACUCUGGGGAUGUCUUCUCCUUUCAAAAGCACAUUUAAGUGCAGUGCACUAAAGAGCAAUUCCUGUUCCUGUAAUUGAGACAAAGCACUGACCACUGGACCAAGAAGACGGACCACCAUCGAGGAAGACGCCGUACCUCCAUCACUCCAAGCCGCCCACCACCGAGCUUCGACCCGCCGACGGCACCGAGUCCCAGCAAACCUUCCCACAGAGGACCCCGGACUUCAGACACACCGCUGCCGCCGCGGCUGGACAGCUGGAACCUUUUCCCCCCUCCAACAGAUUUCAGACUACUGGAAAAGAAACGCCUAACAUCAACAACAACUUAGGACCACUAGGGUAAGUCUACAAAAAACCUCUCAAACACCUCAAAAUUAUUCUAAAUAGUUAGUUUUGUUUGUUGAACUUGAGUUUGUGUCGUUUUUGAACUUGAGUUUAUUAUGUUUUUUGAACUUGAGGUUCUGGUGUUUUUGAACUUAAGUUUGUGGAAAUUGUUGAACUUGAGGAUCGGGUGUUGCUUGAACUUGACUUGUUGUGUUUGUUGAACUUGAGUUUGUGUCGUUUUUGAACUUGAGUUUGUGUGGUGUUUUUGAACUUGAGUUUGUGGUGUUUUUGAACUUGAGUUUGUGUCGUGUUUGAAGUUUGUGGCAACUUAUGAACUGGAGUUUGUUUGGCUUGAUUUUUUGGCAAUUGUUGAACUUGAGUCUGUAUUUUUCCCUGAACUUUAGUUGGUGGCAAUUGUUGAACUUGAGUUUGUGGCAUUUGUUGAACUUGAGUUUGUGGUGUUUGUUGAACCUGAGUUUGUGAAGUGUUUGAACUUGAGUUUGUGUUUUUUUUAACUUAAGGUUGUGGCAAUUGUUAAACUUGAGAAUCGAGUGUUGGUUGAACUUGAGUUUGUGGUGUUCAUUGAACUUGAGUUUGUGGCAUAUUUGAACUUGAGUUUAUUAUGUUUUUUGAACUUGAGGUUCUGGUGUUUUUGAACUUAAGUUUGUGGAAAUUGUUGAACUUGAGGAUCGGGUGUUGCUUGAACUUGACUUGUUGUGUUUGUUGAACUUGAGUUUGUGUCGUUUUUGAACUUGAGUUUGUGUGGUGUUUUUGAACUUGAGUUUGUGAAGUGUUUGAACUUGAGUUUGUGGCGUGUUUGAACUUGAGUUUGUGGUGUUUUUUGAACUUGAGGUUGUGGAAAUUGUUAAACCUGAGAAUCGGGUGUUGGUUGAACUUGAGUUUGUUUGUUUUUUGAACUUGAGUUUGUGUCGUGUAUGAACUUGAGUUUGUGGUGUUUUUUGAAUUGAGGUUGUGGCGUGUUUGAACUUGAGUUUGUGUGUUUUUUGAACUGGAGGUUGUGGAAAUUGUUAAACUUGAGAAUUGGGUGUUGUUUAAACUUGAGUUUGUGGUGUUUUUUGAACUUGAAUUUGUGAUGUGUUUGAACUUGAGUUUGUGGUGUUUUUGAACUUAAGGUUGUGGCAAUUGUUAAACUUGAGAAUUGGGUAUUGGUUGAACUUGGAUUUGUGUGUUUUUUUAAAUUUGAGUUUGUGGCGUGUUUGAAAAUGAGUAUGUGGCGUGUUUGAACUUGAGUUUGUGUUGUUUUUGAACUAGAGGUUGUGGCAAUUGCUAAACUUGAGAUUUGGGUGUUGGUUGAACUUGAGUUUGUGUUGUUUUUUGAACUUGAGUUUGUGUCGUGUUUGAACUUGAGUUUGUGGUGUUUUUUGAACUUGAGGUUGUGGAAAUUGUUAAACCUGAGAAUCAGGUGUUGGUUGAACUUGAGUUUGUGGUGUUUUUUGAACUUGAGUUUGUGUCGUGUAUGAACUUGAGUUUGUGGUGUUUUUUGAAUUGAGGUUGUGGCGUGUUUGAACUUGAGUUUGUGUGUUUUUUGAACUGGAGGUUGUGGAAAUUGUUAAACUUGAGAAUUGGGUGUUGUUUAAACUUGAGUUUGUGGUGUUUUUUGAACUUGAAUUUGUGAUGUGUUUGAUCUUGAGUUUGUGGUGUUUUUGAACUUGAGUUUGUGUCGUGUUUGAACUUGAGUUUGUGGUGUUUUUGAACUUGAGUUUGUGUCGUAUUUGAACUUGAGUUUGUGGCGUGUUUGAACUUGAGUAUCUGUUGUCUUUGAACUUGAGGUUGUGGCAAUUGUUAAAGUUGAGGUUUGGGUGUUGGUUGAUCUUGAGUUUGUGGUGUUUUUUGAACUUGAGUUUGUGUCGUGUUUGAAUUUCAGUUUGUGUGUUUUUUUAUCUUAAGUUUGUGGCAAUUUAUGAACUUGAGUUUGUUGAACUUGAGUUUGUGGUCUUUGUUCAACUUGAGUUUGUGGUUUUUAGUGAUCUCUAGUUGGUGGCAUCUUUGAACUUGAGUUUGUGGCAUUUGUUGAACUUGAAUUUGUGAUGUGUUUGAACUUGAGUUUGUGGCAUUUGUUGAACUUGAGUUUGUGUCGUGUUUGAACUUGAGUUUGUGGUGUUUUUGAACUUGAGUUUGUGUCGUAUUUGAACUUGAGUUUGUGGCGUGUUUGAACUUGAGUAUCUGUUGUCUUUGAACUUGAGGUUGUGGCAAUUGUUAAAGUUGAGGUUUGGGUGUUGGUUGAUCUUGAGUUUGUGUCUUUUUUGAACUUUUGUUUUUGGAUUUUUUGAAUUAGAGUUUGUGUGUUUUUUGAACAUAAGUUUGUGGCAACUUAUGAACUUGAGUAUGUUGAGAUAAAGUUUGUGGCAAAUGUUGCACUUGAGUUUGUGGUUUUUUUUAACUUGAGUUUGUGUCGUGUUUGCACUCUAGGUUGUGGUGUUUUUGAACUUAAGUCUGUGGUUUUUAGUGAACUUUAGUUGGUGACAAUUGUUGAACUUGAUUUUGAGUUUGUAGCUUAUUUGAAUUUGAGGUUGUUGCAAUUUUUAAACUUGAGAUUUGGGUGUUGGUUUUCACAUUUAUUGAACUUUAGUAUGUGAUGUUCGUUGAACUUGAGUUUGUGUGUUUUUUGAACUUGAGUAUGUGUGUUUGUUGAACUUGAGUUUGUGGUGUUUUUUGAACUUGAGAUUGUGGUUUUUUUUAACUUGAGUUUGUGUUUUUCUAGAACUUGAGUUUUUGACAUGUUUUAAUUUGAGGUUGUUGCAAUUCUUAAACUUGAGAUUUGGGUGUUGGUUGAACUUAAAUUUUUCACAUUUAUUGAACUGGAGUUUGUGGUGUUUGUUGAACUUGAGUUUGUAUCGUGUUUGAAAUUAAGUUUGUGGUGUUUUUGAAAUUGAGUUUGUGUGUUUUUGAACUUGAGUUUGUGGUGUUUUUGAACUUCAGUUUGUGGCACUUUUUUAACUUGAGUUUGUUGAACUUUAGUUUUUGGCAAUUGUUAAAUGUGAGUUUAGGUCAUUUGUUGAAUUUGAAAUUUUGGCAUUUUUUGAACUUAAGAUUGUGGUGUUUGUUGAACUUGAGUUUGUGGCAAUUGUUGAACUUGAGUCUGUAUAUUUCCCUGCACUUUAGUUGGUGGCAAUUGUUUAACUUGAGUUUGUGGCGUUUGUUGUACUUGAGUUUGUGGCGUGUUUGAACUUGAGUUUCUGUUGGUUUUUUGAACUUGAGGUUGUGGAAAUUGUUAAACUUGAGACUUGGGAUUUGGUUGAACUUGAGUUUGUGUCGUGUUUGAACUUGAGUUUGUGCAGGUUUGAACUUGAGUUACUGUUGUUUUUUAACUUGAGGUUGUGGCAAUUGUUAAACUUAAGAUUUGGGUGCUGGUUGAACUUGAGUUUGUGUCCUGUUUGAACUUGAGUUUGUUUGUUUGUCUAACUUGAGUUUGUGGCGUGUUUUAACUUGAAUUUUUGUUGUUUUUUAACUUGAGUUUUUGAAAUUGUUUAACUUGAGAAUUGGGUAUUGAUUGAACUUGAGUUCGUGUGUUUGUUGAACUUGAGUUUGUGGCGUGUUUGAACUUGAGUUUGUAUAUUUCCCUGAACUUUAGUUGGUGGCAAUUGUUUAACUUGAGUUUGUGGCGUUUGUUGUACUUGAGUUUGUGCAGGUUUGAACUUGAGUUACUGUUGUUUUUUAACUUGAGGUUGUGGCAAUUGUUAAACUUAAGAUUUGGGUGCUGGUUGAACUUGAGUUUGUGUCCUGUUUGAACUUGAGUUUGUUUGUUUGUCUAACUUGAGUUUGUGGCGUGUUUUAACUUGAAUUUUUGUUGUUUUUUUAACUUGAGUUUUUGGCAAUUGUUAAUCUUUAGAUUUGGGUGUUGGUUGAACUUAAAACUUUGACAUUUGUUGAACUUGACUUUGUGGUGUUCAUUUAACUUGAGUUUGUGUCUUGUUUGAACUUGACUCUUUGGUGUUUUUGAACUUGAGUUUGUGUUUCUUGUUUGAACUUGAGUCUUUGGUGUUUUUGAACUUUAGUUUGUGGCGUGUUUAAACUUGAGUUUCUGUUGUUUUUGAACUUGAGGUUUUUGAAAUUGUUUAACUUGAGUUUGUGGUGUGUUUUAACCUGAGUUUCUGUUUUUUUUAACUUGAGGUUUUGGCAAUUGGCAAACUUGAGAUUUGGGAUCUGGUUGAACUUGAGUUUGUGUCGUGUUUUAAACUGAAUUUUUGUUAUUUUUCUAACUUGAAGUUGUGGCAAUCGUUAAACUUAAGAUUUGGGUGUUAGUUGAACUUGAGUUUGUGUCCUGUUUGAACUUGAGUUUGUUUGUUUGGCUAACUUGAGUUUGUGGCAUGUUUUCACUUGAAUUAUUGUUGUUUUUUAACUUGAGGUUUUGGCAAUUGUUAAUCUUUAGAUUUGGGUGUUGGUUGAACUUAAAACUUUGACAUUUGUUGAACUUGACUUAGUGGUGUUCAUUUAACUUGAGUUUGUGGUGUUUUUGAAUGAGUUUCUGUUGUCUUUGAACUUGAAGUUGUUACAAUUGUUAAACUUGAGAUUUGGGUGUUGGUUGAACUUCAGAUUCGGCAUUUUUGAACUUGAUUUUGUGGUGUUUUUGAACUUGAAUUUGUGUGUUUUUUGAAUUUGAGUUUGUUGCAAUUUUUAAACUUAAGUUUGUGGCGUUUGUUGUACUUGAGUUUGUGUCGUGUUUGAACUUGAGUUUGUGUUGUGUUUGAACUUGAGAUACUGUUGUUUUUUAACUUGAGGUUGUGGCAAUUUUUAAACUAUAGAUUUGGGUGUUGGUUUAACUUGAGUUUGUGGUGUUAUUGAACUUGAGUUUGUGGCGUUUGUUGAACUUGAGUUUGUGGCGUGUUUCGACUUUAAUUUUUUUUUUUUUAACUUGAGGAUUUUGGCAAUUGUUAAACUUUAGAUUUGGGUGUUGGUUGAACUUAAAACUUUGACAUUUGUUGAACUUGAGUUUGUGGUGUUCAUUUAACUUGAGUUUUGGUCUUGUUUGAACUUGACUUUUUGGUGUUUUUGAACUUGAGUUUGUGUGGUUUCUGAACUUAAGUUUGUGGCAAUUGUUAAACUUGAGAUUUGUGUGUUGGUUGAACUUGAGUUUGUGGUGUUUUUGAACUUGAAUUUGUGUGUUUGUUUAACUUGAGUUUGUGGCAUGUUUUAACUUGAGUUUGUGCUGUUUUUGAACUUGAGUUUGUGUGUUUUUUCAACUUGUGUUUGUGUGUUUUUUUUAACUUAAGUUUGUGGCAAUUGUUAAACUUGAGUUUGUGUGUUUUUUGAACUUGAGUUUGUGGUGUUUUUGAACUUGAGUUUGUGUGUUUUUUGAACUUAAGUUUGUGGCAAUUGUUAAAUUUGAGAUUUGGGUUUUGGUUGAACUUGAGUUUAUGGUGUUUUUGAACUUGAGUUUGUGUGUUUUUUGAACCUAAGUUUCUGGUGUUUUUGAACUUGAGUUUGUGUGUUUUUUGAAAUUGAGUUUGUUGCAAUUGUUAAACUUAGAUUUGUGUGUUGGUUGAACUUGAGUUUUUGGUGUUUUUGAACUUGAGUUUGUGGCGUGUUUUAACUUGAGCUUCUUUUUUUAUUUUUAACUUAAGUUUUUGUGAUUUUUGAACUUGAGUUUGUGGUGUUUUUGAACUUGAGUUUGUGUGUUUUUUGAACUUGAGUUUGUGGUGUUUUUGAACUUGAGUUUGUGUGUUUUUUGAAAUUGAGUUUGUGGCAAUUGUUAAACUUGAGAUUUGUGUGUUGGUUGAACUUGAGUUUGUGGUGUUUUUGAACUUGAAUUUGUGGCGUGUUUUAACUUGAGUUUCUGUUUUUUUUUUAACUUAAGUUUUUGUGUUUUUUGAACCUGAGUUUGUGGUGUUUUGAACUUGAGUUUGUGGCAAUUGUUAAACUUGAGUUUGUGUGUUUUUCGAACUGAAGUUUGGGGCAAUUGUUAAACUUGAGUUUGUGUGUUUGUUGAACUUGAGUUUGUGGUGUUUUUGAACUUGAGUUUGUGUGUUUUUUGAACCUGAGUUUCUGGUGUUUUUGAACUUGAGUUUGUGUGUUUUUUGAAAUUGAGUUUGUUGCAAUUGUUUAACUUAGAUUUGUGUGUUGGUUGAACUUGAGUUUUUGGUGUUUUUGAACUUGAGUUUGUGGCGUGUUUUAACUUGAGCUUCUUUUUUUUAUUUUUAACUUAAGUUUUUGUGAUUUUUGAACUUGAGUUUGUGGUGUUUUUGAACUUGAGUUUGUGGUGUUUUUGAACUUGAGUUUGUGUGUUUUUUGAACCUGAGUUUGUGGUGUUUUUGAACUUGAGUUUGUGUGUUUUUCGAACUUGAGUUUGUGGCAAUUGUUAAACUUGAGUUUGUGUGUUUUUCGAACCUGAGUUUCUGGUGUUUUUGAACUUGAGUUUGUGUGUUUUUUGAAAUUGAGUUUGUUGCAAUUGUUAAACUUAGAUUUGUGUGUUGGUUGAACUUGAGUUUUUGGUGUUUUUGAACUUGAGUUUGUGGCGUGUUUUAACUUGAGUUUCUUUUUUUUAUUUUUAACUUAAGUUUUUGUGAUUUUUGAACUUGAGUUUGUGGUGUUUUUGAACUUGAGUUUGUGUGUUUUUUGAACUUGAGUUUGUGGUGUUUUUGAACUUGAGUUUGUGUGUUUUUUGAAAUUGAGUUUGUGGCAAUUGUUAAACUUGAGAUUUGUGUGUUGGUUGAACUUGAGUUUGUGGUGUUUUUGAACUUGAGUUUGUGGCGUGUUUUAACUUGAGUUUCUGUUUUUUUUUUAACUUAAGUUUUUGUGAUUUUUGAACUUGAGUUUGUGGUGUUUUGAACUUGAGUUUGUGUGUUUUUUGAACCUGAGUUUCUGGUGUUUUUGAACUUGAGUUUGUGGCAAUUGUUAAACUUGAGUUUGUGUGUUUUUCGAACUGAAGUUUGGGGCAAUUGUUAAACUUGAGUUUGUGUGUUUUUUGAACUUGAGUUUGUGGUGUUUUUGAACUUGAGUUUGUGUGUUUUUUGAACCUGAGUUUCUGGUGUUUUUGAACUUGAGUUUGUGUGUUUUUUGAAAUUGAGUUUGUUGCAAUUGUUAAACUUAGAUUUGUGUGUUGGUUGAACUUGAGUUUUUGGUGUUUUUGAACUUGAGUUUGUGGCGUGUUUUAACUUGAGUUUCUUUUUUUUAUUUUUAACUUAAGUUUUUGUGAUUUUUGAACUUGAGUUUGUGGUGUUUUUGAACUUGAGUUUUUUUUUCGUUUUUUGAACCUGAGUUUGUGGUGUUUUUGAACUUGAGUUUGUGUGUUUUUCGAACUUGAGUUUGUGGCAAUUGUUAAACUUGAGUUUGUGUGUUUUUCGAACUUAAGUUUGUGGCAAUUGUUAAACUUGAGUUUGUGUGUUUUUUGAACUUGAGUUUGUGGUGUUUUUGAACUUGAGUUUGUGUGUUUUUCGAACUUGAGUUUGUGGCAAUUGUUAAACCUGAGUUUGUGUGUUUUUCGAACUUAAGUUUGUGGCAAUUGUUAAACUUGAGUUUGUGUGUUUUUUGAACUUGAGUUUGUGGUGUUUUUAAACUUGAGUUUGUGUGUUUUUCGAACUUAAGUUUGUGGCAAUUGUCAAACUUGAGAUUUGGGUGUUUUUUGAACUUGAGUUUGUAGUGUUUUUGAACUUGAGUUUGUGUGUUUGUUUAACUUGAGUUUGUGGUGUGUUUUAACCUGAGUUUCUGUUCUUUUUAACUUGAGGUUGUGGCAAUUGUCAAACUUGAGAUUUGGGAUCUGGUUGAACUUGAGUUUGUGUCGUGUUUGAACUUGAGUUUGUGGUGUUUUUGAACUUGAGUUUGUGGCGUGUUUUAACCUGAAUUUUUGUUAUUUUUCUAACUUGAAGUUGUGGCAAUCGUUAAACUUAAGAUUUGGGUGUUAGUUAAACUUGAGUUUGUGUCGUGUUUGAACUUGAGUUUGUUUGUUUGGCUAACUUGAGUUUGUGGCAUGUUUUCACUUGAAUUAUUGUUGUUUUUUAACUUGAGGAUUUGGCAAUUGUUAAUCUUUAGAUUUGGGUGUUGGUUGAACUUAAAACUUUGACAUUUGUUGAACUUGACUUUGUGGUGUUCAUUUAACUUGAGUUUGUGGUGUUUUUGAACUUGAAUUUUUGUGUUUUUUUAACUUGUGUUUGUGGUGUUUUUGAAUUUGAGUUUCUGUUGUCUUUGAACUUGAAGUUGUUGCAAUUGUUAAACUUGAGAUUUGGGUGUUGGUUGAACUUCGGAUUCGGCAUUUUUGAACUUGAGUUUGUGGUGUUUUUGAACUUGAAUUUGUGUGUUUUUUGAAUUUGAGUUUGUUGCAAUUUUUGAACUUGAGUUUGUGGCGUUUGUUGUACUUGAGUUUGUGUCGUGUUUGAACUUGAGUUUGUGUUGUGUUUGAACUUGAGAUACUGUUGUUUUUUAACUUGAGGUUGUGGCAAUUUUUAAACUAUAGAUUUGGGUGUUGGUUUAACUUGAGUAUGUGGUGUUUUUGAACUUGAGUUUGUGGCGUUUGUUGAACUUGAGUUUGUGGCGUGUUUCAACUUUAAUUUUUUUUUUUUAACUUGAGGAUUUUGGCAAUUGUUAAACUUUAGAUUUGGGUGUUGGUUGAACUUAAAACUUUGACAUUUGUUGAACUUGAGUUUGUGGUGUUCAUUUAACUUGAGUUUUGGUCUUGUUUGAACUUGACUUUUUGGUGUUUUUGAACUUGAGUUUGUGUGUUUUCUGAACUUAAGUUUGUGGCAAUUGUUAAACUUGAGAUUUGUGUGUUGGUUGAACUUGAGUUUGUGGUGUUUUUGAACUUGAAUUUGUGUGUUUGUUUAACUUGAGUUUGUGGCAUGUUUUAACUUGAGUUUGUGCUGUUUUUGAACUUGAGUUUGUGUGUUUUUUCAACUUGUGUUUGUGUGUUUUUUUAACUUAAGUUUGUGGCUAUUGUUAAACUUGAGUUUGUGUGUUUUUUGAACUUAAGUUUGUGGCAAUUGUUAAAUUUGAGAUUUGGGUUUUGGUUGAACUUGAGUUUAUGGUGUUUUUGAACUUGAGUUUAUGUGUUUGUUUAACUUGAGUUUGUGGCAUGUUUUAACUUUAGUUUCUUGUUGUUUUUUAACUUGAGGUUGUGGCAGUUGUCAAACUUGAGAUUUGGGAUUUGGUUGAACUUGAGUUUGUGUUGUGUUUGAACUUGAGUUUGUGGCGUUUGUUGAACUUGAGUUUGUGGCGUGUUUUAACCUGAAUUUUUGUUGUUUUUCUAACUUGAGGUUUUGGCAAUUGUUAAUCUUAAGAUUUGGGUGUUGGUUGAACUUAAAACUUUGACAUUUGUUGAACUUGACUUUGUGGUGUUCAUUUAACUUGAGUUUGUGUCUUGUUUGAACUUGACUUUGUGGUGUUUUUGAACUUGAGUUGGUGGUGUUUUUGAACUCGAGUUUGCGGAAAUUGUUGAAUUUGAGAAUUGGGUGUUGGUUGAACUUGAGUUUGUGGCGUGUUUUAACUUGAUUUGUGUUGUUUUUGAACUUGAGGUUGUGGAAAUUGUUAAACUCGCCCUCCUUGAGCCAUCAUGAAGGCGGCUGUGGCGGGGGUAGAGCAGCAAUGAACAGAAUCCCUCCGGAACAGGAGCGCUUCAAGGGUAGCGGAGCAAUUAGCUGGCACGAGGGUGGAGCUGGGGUGGCAGUGUGUUGCUUGUUUGCGGUCAGAAUAGAGGAAGAGGCUGUGUUAGUGCAGUUUUAA